rnacentral:rRNA from 1 species
UACGAAGGGGGCUAGCGUUGUUCGGAUUUACUGGGCGUAAAGCGCACGUAGGCGGAUCGUUAAGUCGGGGGUGAAAUCCUGGAGCUCAACUCCAGAACUGCCUUCGAUACUGGCGAUCUUGAGUCCGGAAGAGGUGAGUGGAACUCCUAGUGUAGAGGUGGAAUUCGUAGAUAUUAGGAAGAACACCAGUGGCGAAGGCGGCUCACUGGCCCGAUACUGACGCUGAGGCACGAAAGCGUGGGGAGCAAACAGG